GGGUGGCGGCGGGAGCUCGCGUAGGCUACGAGAUGCAAACACAAUGUCCGCUAUGCUUCUUCACCGCUUAGCUAGAGAACAAUUUUGCAAUGUGAAACAGCCGAAGUGGAUUUUGAAAAUCUAUUGUUGGAUUCGGACAUUCAGGCUCGUACAAAUAGGAGAGGAGGAGGCUGAUGCGGCUGCAGCUGAACAAGCAUUGCCUGUUGCCGAGGACGAGGAGCCAGAGCGCGCCGGUUUGCUCUUUUUCGCCUAUAGACACUAACACAGAGUACUUGAAUUUCAGCGAUGCCAGUUUCGUCUAAUAAAUGGCUGAAUCUGGCGAGGACGGGCCGUUUGUGUAACUUCUCACCCAGGCUUUACGCUUCAUCUGAACAGAUGGGAUACAUAUUUCCGGACCCAGAAAGUGAACUGGAAACGCCAGCCUAAGCCCGACGUCUGAGCAUAGAAUAAUUACCCAGCACAAGAUGGGCAGUACCGUGGCUACCAGGGGAGCAUGUCUAUGUUCCCCGGGUCCUAUGUUCCCGGGUCCUAUGUUCCCGGGUCCUAUGUUCCCCUCUUUUUAUGAGACUUUUCCCAAAAAGGGUCCCAUGUUCCCCGGUCUGUUACUUUUUCCACCAUUAGUACUGCCAAAUUCCGGCCAGAUAACCACCAUUGCAUGUCUUUACCAUUUGUGGAAGAGGGAGAGACGUCGGAGGACCCGACGCAGCCUAUUCAUAAUAUUGUAAUGACCACGGAAGAGGCAGUGAAUGAAGUAUUGAUUAGAGAGAGAUUUAUUAGAUAGGCCUACCUAAUAAACCGUUAGAACACACAAGACCGGAAACCAUAGCAACGCCGGUAAACAAACCCAGAGAAGCCUAAUCCCUACGAGAGCUCCCCGCGCUACGGCCAUCCGGAGGCGGACACAGCCAAUCAGCGUUCAACCGGCCAACUCAGUGCAGUGCAGUCCCGGGGUGAACUGCAGCAUGGAGGAGAAAGUGAUUGUUGCCGUUUGCGACUCCCGGAGCUCUAUAUAUAAUAGUAUAUAAUUUAAUAUAAUUGUAUAAUAUCACGGCCAAAAACUGUGCGCCUCCGCCGUCUCUCCCUCUUCCACAAAAGGUAAAGACAUGCAAUGGCACAAACACACUCGCUCCCCCCGCCCGUUGCGAGUCCGCGAGAUUCUCAUGGACGCGCGUGUGUGACGUAGUCUGGACGGCGCGCUGCUGUAGGUGUGUAUACCUCCGACCGGUGAGUGAGAACAGCGAGAGAGAGAAAAAAGGAUGGAAACUGAGGAUUUGGUUUUGAAAAAGAAUAGCAUUGGAUCCGUCGUCUGGCAGUGUAUAUAUAAUAAUUAUUAUGCAAACAGUUCAUAAAUAAUUAACGGUUUGAAUAAAUGCUGUGUUGGUAAAUCUAACUUGCUGU
ensembl:lncRNA